UGCUCUGUGCUUUUAAUGCUAUCUCUUGAGAAAUUAACAUAACAAUGACAUAUAUAACCUGCUUUCACUGUCUCCUCUUUAAAGCACCCUCCCAACAUGUCAGGUGACACUGCCCAAUUCGAAUCAUAUCUACUCACAAUUAAUAUAUUCUGUUACACUAAUUUUUGGUGUUUCUCCAAUCAAUUUAGGUUUUUGACAAUUCCUGACAUCAGAAGUGGGACCUGUAGUGACUGAUUGACAUCCCCCAGAGCUCUGUUUAGACACAGAUGUGACGUCUGCAAAAGCCCCUUCUGCUUACUGUCUCCACAGAGCAUUUAGAGGCUGACUAGAAACACCUAUGCUCCAGAAUCUCCCCAUAUCGCUGCCUGUACAACUGAUGAAGUAUACCUGUAAAUGGCCACAAAUUCUUUGCACCUUCUUCUAUCAAAAGGGUGGCCACCACUUAAGGAAGCCCAGCCUAGCCUGCUGAAAGAUGAGAGACCAUGGAGAGUACAGACAAGCCACUUGCAGCUGAGUCUCCAGACAUGUGAGUGAGGCCAUCCUAGAUCGUCUAGCCAGUCUGAGCCAGGUCAAAAAACCAAAACACCACCCAAC